rnacentral:rRNA from 1 species
GACGAACGCUGGCGGCGUGCUUAACACAUGCAAGUCGAACGAAGAGCGAUGGAAGCUUGCUUCUAUCAAUCUUAGUGGCGAACGGGUGAGUAACGCGUAAUCAACCUGCCCUUCAGAUGGGGACAACAGUUGGAAACGACUGCUAAUACCGCAUACGAUCUAAUCUCGGCAUCGAGGAUAGAUGAAAGGUGGCCUCUACAUGUAAGCUAUCACUGAAGGAGGGGAUUGCGUCUGAUUAGCUAGUUGGAGGGGUAACGGCCCACCAAGGCGAGGAUCAGUAGCCGGUCUGAGAGGAUGAACGGCCACAUUGGGACUGAGACACGGCCCCGACUCCUAGGGGAGGCAGCAGUGGGGAAUCUUCCGCAAUGGACGAAAGUCUGACGGAGCAACGCCGCGUGAGUGAUGACGGCCUUCGGGUUGUAAAGCUCUGUUAAUCGGGACGAAAGGCCUUCUUGCGAAUAGUGAGAAGGAUUGACGGUACCGGAAUAGAAAGCCACGGCUAACUACGUG